AAAGGGAUCAGCGCAGGCGCCGUGAAGUGAGGCUAGCCGGCUCUGUGGAGCGGAGUUGGGUUAAGAGCGGGAGCGGGAGCCGGCUGAGGGCUAACUGGAGGGAAGCAUCAGCGGCAGGAAGAUAGGGGCCGAUAAGACCAUAGAAACGGGGUACAGAGAGAGGGGUCACCUGGUGGUGAGCACCAGCUGACACCCCAUUAGCCCGGGCUGGUCGUACCCACAUUCUUCCCGGUUAAACAGCAGGCAGCGCGGGGUCCCCGCUUCGGCCAUCUUCGGCUGUUCGCUGAGAUCAGAGGCCGGCUUGGGGCUGAGUGCCCUCCCUCUCAUCCCCUCUUUUCCCAACACUAGUAAUGUGACUGGGCCGGAGAAACGUGUCCCCCAGCCCAUCCCGCGCCCAAACCUGAGGUCCACUCCUGUGAGUAAGCAGCAGCAACCACCUCACUACCUCGAAAAGCGACAGUAACUUCAUGCAGCCUUCUCCCUUCUGAAUUACAGGAGAUCUUUAACCCACACAACCAACUCUGAAGAUGCCCAGAAAAAGGUACACUUUAAAUGAAUUAGUAGACCAAUCAACGAAGACUGAAGAAACGAACAGGGUUGUGCUGCGUACCCGAAAGCGAAAAGCCGACGUUGCCAUUUGUUUGCAAGACUUGGAUGAAGUUACAGAAGUGCAGUCUACGAAACCAUAUGGAAAGGAGGUAAUAGA